AUAGAUCUAGACCUAGAUCUACAACACCUAGACUAAAGUUAAAGACUAAGACUUCACUUUCACAUCACAUUCACACGAUUAUUGAUACAGACAGUGAAUGAAACGAAUGCAGUGGUUAUACUGAUUAUACUUAAAGUGACGAUACUACUUAUAGAUCUACCAGUUGAUAAACAUCAUCAUCAUAGAUAAUAAUCUACAUCUAUAAUCAUAGUGCCCUUUAUUUAGUCAAUAUAGUCAAGUCAAGGUAGUGGAACGUAAACUCGAAGGUUUAAUGUUUAAUACAAUACGUUAUUAACAAGUAGAACCAUGGCAACCAGUUCUGAUGAUGUACCAGAAUGGCUCAAGGAUCAUACUUAUACUAUUUCUACUCUCUGGGCAUCCAUUCAAUAUUUAAUUUAUGUUUGGAAAUGCAAGAAAAAGGCAUGCAUUCCUGAAAAGUCAAUGAUUGGUUGCACCUCUUAAAGAUAACUUUCUGUUAUGAGAAAAGAUGAGAUUCUUGGACUCCUGCAUAGCACCACCAGAAAGGAAAAUCCCAUCAUGUUGCAAAAUAAAAGUCUUGGACCAAUUUUAAUUUAAGAUAUAUAUAUUAUACUGUAAGCUGUAUACAUAUUUAUGUAUAUCCUGUCAUUCAGCCAACAGGUUUGGAUUUAGUAUUUCUUUAAAUCUGUUUGAUAUUGUACUUGAAAACUAUUAAUCUGAGCCCCAUUAAAACAAGAGGGAGUGCAGUGGAUGAGUGGUAAGGGAAAUUUUACUUUUUUAAAAUUAAAAUAAGAAUCUAACAAAAGUAAACAUAUAAAAUAUGGUGCAUUCUCCUUAAAACUAAAACCUGGUGCAAAGGUUUAAAAUGUUGGCAAAAAAAAAGCAACAUCAAUUAAAUAUUCUUAAUUCCCUUUGCAAAACUUACAGAGAAGAACAUGCAUGUUGUUCCCUCAUAAGUUUCUUGACAGAGGAAAUCUUGUUUAUAUUAGAUUUGAAUUAAGCAAAUUAAGAAAAAAAUUAUAAUCAUUAUUUCAAAUGGUUGUAUCUAAACCUUAUGAAUUAUUUUUCAGUUAUAAGUAUAUUGAAAUGAAUGGAUAAUCAUGAAAUUGUUAAAUAAUUGCUGCUAUCAUUCCAUUGACUAAAGAACCAUAAUUUUUUUUUUAAAUUAAUUUCAAAAUUAAUUAAUUAAUUAAUUUUCAAGCAGAGUUCACAUAGAUCUUGAGUGAAAUUUUUCUUUUUUUGACUAAUGCUUUAAUUUUAUUGUAUCAUUAGUUUUUUAUUUUUAUUACCCAGAAUAUUUUAAAAAUGAGUACACUAUUUUCAUGUAAUAAUGUAACUUGGUAUUCACACAUCAAAAUACGCUAUAAUCUUUAGGCCAUAUAGAUUUGUAUAAAUAUAAAUUAACUUGCUUAAAUACAUUGUAAAUGUAUAUUGUUUGGAUAAGAAUAAAGUUUUUCUGUAGACAA